AUUGAACGCUGGCGGCAUGCCUUACACAUGCAAGUCGAACGGUAACAGGUCUUCGGAUGCUGACGAGUGGCGAACGGGUGAGUAAUACAUCGGAACGUGCCCGAGAGUGGGGGAUAACGAAGCGAAAGCUUUGCUAAUACCGCAUACGAUCUCAGGAUGAAAGCAGGGGACCGCAAGGCCUUGCGCUCACGGAGCGGCCGAUGGCAGAGUAGGUAGUUGGUGGGAUAAAAGCUUACCAAGCCGACGAUCUGUAGCUGGUCUGAGAGGACGACCAGCCACACUGGGACUGAGACACGGCCCAGACUCCUACGGGAGGCAGCAGUGGGGAAUUUUGGACAAUGGGCGAAAGCCUGAUCCAGCCAUACCGCGUGCAGGAUGAAGGCCUUCGGGUUGUAAACUGCUUUUGUACGGAACGAAAAGACUCUGGUUAAUACCUGGAGUCCAUGACGGUACCGUAAGAAUAAGCACCGGCUAACUACGUGCCAGCCGCCGCCGUAAGAC
rnacentral:rRNA from 1 species